AACACGUGAUGACUGUUUCGGUCCCAUAUGAUCUCUGAUUACUCUUUUGAUAUCAGCUGACGUU
ensembl:snoRNA SNORD73 Small nucleolar RNA SNORD73